rnacentral:rRNA from 1 species
AGAGUUUGAUCCUGGCUCAGGACGAACGCUGGCGGCGUGCCUAAUACAUGCAAGUCGAGCGGACGGAUGGGAGCUUGCUCCCAGACCGUCAGCGGCGGACGGGUGAGUAACACGUGGGCAACCUGCCUGUAAGACUGGGAUAACUCCGGGAAACCGGGGCUAAUACCGGAUAAUUCUUUCCCUCACAUGAGGGGGAGCUGAAAGAUGGCUUCGGCUAUCACUUACAGAUGGGCCCGCGGCGCAUUAGCUAGUUGGUGAGGUAACGGCUCACCAAGGCGACGAUGCGUAGCCGACCUGAGAGGGUGAUCGGCCACACUGGGACUGAGACACGGCCCAGACUCCUACGGGAGGCAGCAGUAGGGAAUCUUCCGCAAUGGACGAAAGUCUGACGGAGCAACGCCGCGUGAGUGAUGAAGGUUUUCGAAUCGUAAAACUCUGUUGUUAGGGAAGAACAAGUACCGGAGUAACUGCCGGUACCUUGACGGUACCUAACCAGAAAGCCACGGCUAACUACGUGCCAGCAGCCGCGGUAAUACGUAGGUGGCAAGCGUUGUCCGGAAUUAUUGGGCGUAAAGCGCGCGCAGGCGGUUCCUUAAGUCUGAUGUGAAAGCCCACGGCUCAACCGUGGAGGGUCAUUGGAAACUGGGGAACUUGAGUGCAGAAGAGGAGAGUGGAAUUCCACGUGUAGCGGUGAAAUGCGUAGAGAUGUGGAGGAACACCAGUGGCGAAGGCGACUCUCUGGUCUGUAACUGACGCUGAGGCGCGAAAGCGUGGGGAGCAAACAGGAUUAGAUACCCUGGUAGUCCACGCCGUAAACGAUGAGUGCUAAGUGUUAGAGGGUUUCCGCCCUUUAGUGCUGCAGCAAACGCAUUAAGCACUCCGCCUGGGGAGUACGGCCGCAAGGCUGAAACUCAAAGGAAUUGACGG